rnacentral:rRNA from 1 species
GAGUUUGAUCUUGGCUCAGAUUGAACGCUGGCGGCAUGCCUUACACAUGCAAGUCGAACGGUAACAGGUCUUCGGAUGCUGACGAGUGGCGAACGGGUGAGUAAUACAUCGGAACGUGCCCAGACGUGGGGGAUAACGAGGCGAAAGCUUUGCUAAUACCGCAUACGAUCUAAGGAUGAAAGCAGGGGACCGCAAGGCCUUGCGCGUUUGGAGCGGCCGAUGGCAGAUUAGGUAGUUGGUGGGAUAAAAGCUUACCAAGCCGACGAUCUGUAGCUGGUCUGAGAGGACGACCAGCCACACUGGGACUGAGACACGGCCCAGACUCCUACGGGAGGCAGCAGUGGGGAAUUUUGGACAAUGGGCGAAAGCCUGAUCCAGCAAUGCCGCGUGCAGGAUG